rnacentral:lncRNA from 1 species
GUAAAAUUAGUAUCUCCUUUGGUUUUGCUUUUUUUGUGCUUCCUAAAUUUUAGGAAAUCAAGCUGUUCGACCACAGAUAGGAUCGGUAACUCGGUAAAAGCCACCGUUUCCAGUGCUUUUUUGAGCAAGGAAAUAUUGGUUUUAUUCGGAAAAGUUGCUUGGUGCAAAGCUAGGGUCAACAUAAAGUUUCCGACGUUAGGAGGAAUUCCCCUGAAUACCAAGAUUGUAUUUCCAUGGUAUGCAUGUUUGGGGUCACAUGACACAGCCGGGGAGGCCUGAUUUCAUAGUCAAAUGCGUAAAAAACAGGGACUUUGGGUAGGCACGUACAGGAUCAUACGUCUGGUCUCGUAAAUCGGGCAAAUAGGCUUCCUUUUUGAAGUGAAAUAGCC